UCAUAAUAACCAUUCUAAACAUGUCGGUGGCUUCAGAUUGACUAGAAAAACAACAAAAAAGACAUUAGGCAGAAAUUUUGAUUUUGGCCAAAAUAAGAACCUACUUAGCUAUGUUGCUAUUUUCUGUCAUUUAAACUCAACCAAUGACCAAAAAAGCUUUUGUAACACAUCUGAAAUGUGCUGUAAACAACCUAGGGCUAGAAAAAUACUAAAAUUGUUCUUUGGAACACAAAAUCUUUUGUUUGAUGACCCAAAACUUAACAACAACAAAAAAACAUGAAAAAUGUAAGAGAAAUCACACAGAAACACAAAAAAAAAAAAAAAAGAAAUGAAAACGAAAACAAAGAUGAGAAUGCUUGGGUUGACUCCCAAGAAGCGCUUAGGUUAUAGUCGUGAGCUAGACUUUUUGAUGCACGGAGACUAGAUAGAAUCUACCGGCUCACUAAAAGAGAGCUAGGUCUUCUCUAUCUCAAAGGGUGACUUGAUGUAAGGCUUCAAGCAAUGCCAUUCUCUUUGAAGGUCG
rnacentral:lncRNA from 1 species